AGUGACAAGCUGUUCUACCACUAGGUACAAUGUUUGCUUUUUUUUUUUUUUUUUUUUUUUUUUUUACAUUUUCCUUUCUUACCUUGCAGCAGAGCAUUCUACAUACAUAUCCGCCUGGAGGAAUGCCCAGGGGCUUGUGAAACUAAUUUUGAACUCACCAUGCACUGCUUUUUCACAGGCUGAAAGAGUCAGCAUUAAGGAUCAGUGUGAGUGGUCAAACAAGAGGGAUCCUCAACAGCCUAUUUUAAAUGCUCAACCAAAUGGAGACCAGUGUUCAAACCAAUUUAAAAAGGAAGAGGAUUCAUCUGAGAAGUAUGUCAACCCCUUGAGAGCUCAAGCUCAAGUCUUAUGCAUCAACAGUGCAGCUUCUUCAUGCCCGGUCAAAGCAUUUCCGUUGGCACACAGAAAUCAUUACUACUUUAGGGCAUCACAAAAUCCGACCUCGAAGGUCUUUGUUAAAAACUGUGACAUUACAAAGACAACAAGUCCACUAGUAGCAGGUAAAGAAAAUGAAGGCCAAACAAAAUCAAAUUGGGAAUUGGGAGCCACUGAGAGAAGGAAAAAUGGUCUGCAAAUGAGGAAAGAAGCAGAGCAAGAGGAUGAGAGGAAGCAAAAGAAUAUGCAUGAAGUAGUUCGAAAACAAAGGCAAGCGCUCCACGGGGCCAUGAAAGAACAGCAACAGGAGUGCAAGAACAGAGGUGGUUCCGAGGAGAAGAAGAGAUGUGCUCAUGAAGCUGACACAAAUGAAGAACAAUUGCAUGUCUUUCCUAGACAGAACCAAAGUGUGACAGUGUGAGCCUACUGCAGAGCCCAUUGCUCCCUUUCUCAGCCUCAAGAGGGCAGUGUUGAAGCUGAGCAGGUGGACCAGAGCUCAGGCACACUGAGUGAAGUUGGCAGUCCUGUGAGUGCAGCUGAUGUGAGCUGGGCUCAAAACCGUUUGGCAACUUACAGAUACAGAGUGGAAGCUCUCAGGAAGACAAUUGGUGCUCUGGAUACACACAUGGAUGAUGAGGCAGCCUGGCUGGUAAUCACAGACCACAAAGGAGCUCUGAGACAGUCACAACCCGCUGGACAGGGCAUCCGUGGAGCCGAAUCAAGGGAAACUUUGUCUGAUUUUGUAUCUCUGGAUAGAGAUGCAGAGAAAAACCACAGAUAAAAAGGGAUGUCAAUUAAAAACGAGAUUAAAGAUGAAAAAGAUGAAUUGGAUAUGGGACUGUGUGUUGCAGAGACAACAUUCAGACCGCAGACUGACCACACAGAAAAAGGACAAGAGGAGCGAAGUGACUGCAGUGAGAGCACUGACUCCACCAGCAAGAUCCUGCAUCCCCUCCUUUGUCUUCAACCAGCUGUGACAGAAAAACUGACCAUAUUAUGGAUCAAGCAGCAGUGGAAAUUCUCCUCCUCUCCCAGGGGGAUCUGUUCCUUGAGGCCCACACACAGAGGUAUUUGGAUUGGGUUCCCUUUGUUCAUUAUGAUGACACCAGCCUCUGUGUGUUUUUCUACAUAACUCUGGAACUUCCAGAGUUAUGUAGAGUGGGUGCUUGUCCACCGUGGAUUCCCCUUGACCAUCGUGGAGUGUGAGGAGAAAAACCAACGUACCUGCCCCUGACUGUCGUCCAGUGGAGGCUCCAGCCUCUGACUGUCAUCCCGUGAAGACUCCAGCCCCUGACUGUCGUCCAGUGAAGGCUCCAGCCCCUGACCGUCGUCCCGUGAUGGCUCCAGCCCCUGACCGUCAUCCAGUGAUGACUACAGUCCCAGUCCAGAGCCCAGAGAGGGCUUGUGUUUUGUGUUCGUGUCCAGAGCCCAGAGAAGACAUCAGCCAAAAAGCCCAUUCCAGAGUCUGCUUCAGCCCAGUAGCCCAUCCAAGAGUCCGUUCCAGCCAAGAACAUGCACCAGACCAUAAACCCUUAGAUCCUCCCAAGAAAAUUUUUGGGGGGGUGCAGUAUGUCCUCGGCCGUAGUGGUCAAGCAAAGCCCCUGGGUGAAGGCCACGGAGGCAGUACCGCCAUGGCCCCCUGGGCGCCGCCCUGGAGGCUUUCCUGUCCCACCUAGCCACAUCCUCGUCAGCCUCCAGAGCACCCACCCUACCACCUUUGUGGAUGUAAUACAGUGUGAGGUCGCGCCUGUCAGGAGAGCGGGAUACUGUAACGUUUGAGUUGUGUUUUUGUUCUGUUUAGUAGUUCAUGUUUAGAGUUUGUUUUUCAUUAGUCACAUGUUCUUUGUUCUCAGUUUCCCGCCACUUGUUUGUUACUAAGGUUUCUGAUCUGAUUAGUGUUUAAGUUCAGCUGUGUCUCAUUAAUUAGCUCCUCAUUUCUUUGUUUUUAAUCCCUGUUUGUUCUGUUCAGUUGUCACUUCUC